rnacentral:rRNA from 1 species
CGCGAAACCGGGCGAGCUACUGCUGAGCGCAUCGUAGUACAAAGAAUGUAGCACAAUUAUAGUAGAUUCGACAGUAGGGGUGAAAGGCCAACAAGUCUGGUGAUAACUUGUUAACUUAGAAAGGUAUUUAGUACGUAGGUCAAAUUACUAGUGAUAAGGCUGGUAAAAACUAUUUAAUUAAAUUGAGGCUCGUAUACAUUGUUUAACCGCACGUAAAUAAUUAUAUAAAUAUUAAUAUUUUAUCGAUAAUAGAAAAUAUAAGUUAGUACUGAACGGGAACAAAUAUUUAUUCUGUAGUUAUAAGUAAUUUAGGUACAGCUGAUGAACUCGGCAAUAUUUCCUUCACCUGUUUAUCAAAAACAUCGCCAGUAGGAGGUACUAUUGGUUUAUUCUGCUCCAUGUCUUAUAAAUAGCCGCAGUACCCUGACUGUGCAAAGGUAGCAUAAUCAUUUGGCUUAUAAUUGAAGUCUAGAAUGAAAGAACGCAUGGGGGAAAGCUCUAUUGGCUGUAAAAAACGAAUUUACUGAGUGGGUGCAAAUUCCCACAACUAAAUAAUAGACGAGAAGACCCUAGAAAUUUUUACAAGAGGUAAGGAUCGUUUUUGUUGGGGCAACAUAGUAGCAUGUUAAUCUACAAUAACUACACGACACAGUUCUAGAUAGAUUAAAUUACUCUAGGGAUAACAGCGUAAUUUAAAAAAGUUUGCGACCUCGAUGUUGGACUAGGAAGCAGAUACUUAAAA